ensembl:snoRNA
GCAUGGGUUUGGAUUUGUGGCGGGUCUGAUCCCAUGGGCCUCUCACAAUGUCCCAGGCCAAAGCAAAAUGUCACCCCAAACCAUUUCCUGGCUUUAACCGGUGGACUUAAGGCAUUGCAGCAGGUUGCACAGUG